rnacentral:rRNA from 1 species
GAUGAACGCUGGCGGCGUGCCUAAUACAUGCAAGUCGAGCGAACGGACGAGAAGCUUGCUUUUCUGAUGUUAGCGGCGGACGGGUGAGUAACACGUGGAUAACCUACCUAUAAGACUGGGAUAACUUCGGGAAACCGGAGCUAAUACCGGAUAAUAUUUUGAACCGCAUGGUUCAAAAGUGAAAGACGGUCUUGCUGUCACUUAUAGAUGGAUCCGCGCUGCAUUAGCUAGUUGGUAAGGUAACGGCUUACCAAGGCAACGAUGCAUAGCCGACCUGAGAGGGUGAUCGGCCACACUGGAACCGAGACCCGGUCCAGACUCCUACGGGAGGCAGCAGUAGGGAAUCUUCCGCAAUGGGCGAAAGCCUGACGGAGCAACGCCGCGUGAGUGAUGAAGGUCUUCGGAUCGUAAAACCCUGUUAUUAGGGAAGAACAUAUGUGUAAGUAACUGUGCACAUCUUGACGGUACCUAAUCAGAAAGCCACGGCUAACUACGUG